rnacentral:lncRNA from 8 species
ACAGGCACAGCUUUAACACAACAGCAGCCUUUUCAAAGUGGACAGAAUUCUUUGAGAUUCAAUCUAAAGCUAAGUAUUUUGUUUCAGUUGUUUGUACUGCCUUGUAAUACAGUCACAUUUUCAGCAUAAUGUUAAAUCUUAGUCUCAUUCAAGUGUUGUGUUUUUUUAUGUUUUUACUACCAGAAGACCCAAGAAGAUGUGUUGACUGAGAAAACAAAUGUCCUGCAGUAUUGUUGAGGAAGACAUCUGCCUAACUAUAUAUUGGAGAAGACCAGGUGUAUGCGCACUACGGCAUUGCAGAAUGAUAGACCAGAGGAAGAACAUCUCUAAUACAGAGGUAUUCUGAAACAAGAGAAGACCAGGUGUUUGGCAUUGCACACCACAGCAUUGCAGGAUGACGGACCAGAGGAUAUAAAGUCUGUGCAUGCCAGAUCCAGAGGCCAGAUGGUGGAAGACGGUUUCCUGCAACAUUUAGAUAAUUUUAACGUUGUUUAAAAAUGUUAUUAGCUUAUACAUUUAAAAAAUGUUGUUACGUGCCACGCCCAAGGAAGAUGGGUACUCCCUUGCUGAGUCUGGUCUUUCCAAGGUUUCUCUCCAAACUUUUUGGAGUUUUUUUCCUUGCCACAGUCGCCAAUGGCUUGCUCACAGGGGGUGUUGUGCCAAGUCCUGUCUUCCCCUCGGGUCCUUUAUCUUUAAACUUAGAUUCCAUAGUAAUUUAGCCAUACAAAUGUUAAUAAAAAGGAGCUUAAAAGUAAUUUAAAAUAAGUAAAAAUAGGCUUAAGAGUACAAAUAAAGCUUAGUCAAUCAUAUCAUCACAAUUUAGGAUAUUUAUAUGCAGCUUAGGUUUGAAUGUAUUUGCCAUUAAUAAAUACUAAUGAGUAAAAUGUUUGCUCCAUAAACUAUUUAGUGUUAUAAAUCAAUGUAACUUUUUUUUUUUCUCAGAUUAGAGCCGCA